GGAGUGGAUGGCAAGGCUCAGGGCAUUUGCCAGCAGUGGGGUUUGGCCUUCAGAUGCUGGAAAUAGACCAGCCCCAAGGCAGAAGAAAUGGCAUGAUCUUUAUCAGAAGAUAGAAAAAUGCCCCAUGCAAGCCCAAGGUCAGACCACCCUUUUUGGAGGGUCUGUGUCGUGUAAUUGCAGCUUUCACUCUGCUAAGCCUGCUCUGCAGCAUCCUCCUCCUGUGACCCAGCACUCUAUGGCUGCACCAUCUACUUCUGCUGAUACAGCUCCAGCCGCACGGUCUUUCUUGAGGGUCCCUCUGUCUUUGUCCAUG